rnacentral:tRNA from 1 species
GUCGGCAUGGCCCAACAGUAUAAGGCACUGCAUUCAGGUUGCAGUCUUCCCUGGAGGGGUGGGUUUGAAUCCCACUUCUGACA